rnacentral:rRNA from 1 species
AGCGAACGCUGGCGGCAGGCUUAACACAUGCAAGUCGAACGGGCGUAGCAAUACGUCAGUGGCAGACGGGUGAGUAACGCGUGGGAACGUACCUUUUGGUUCGGAACAACCCAGGGAAACUUGGGCUAAUACCGGAUAAGCCCUUACGGGGAAAGAUUUAUCGCCGAAAGAUCGGCCCGCGUCUGAUUAGCUAGUUGGUGUGGUAACGGCGCACCAAGGCGACGAUCAGUAGCUGGUCUGAGAGGAUGAUCAGCCACAUUGGGACUGAGACACGGCCCAAACUCCUACGGGAGGCAGCAGUGGGGAAUAUUGGACAAUGGGCGCAAGCCUGAUCCAGCCAUGCCGCGUGAGUGAUGAAGGCCCUAGGGUUGUAAAGCUCUUUUGUGCGGGAAGAUAAUGACUGUACCCGGAGAAGAAG